UUCCCAUUAUCGCCUCUGGUACCCUUCUCGCCCUGUUUAUCAGGGGAAUGGCGAGCGCCGCUGCUACAUGGCUCCAAAGCUCGCCCUUAUCCUACGCACUCCUCCCUCUCCUCUCUCGACAAACCAGGCUCGCCGCUAACGUGCGCAGCACGCACCUUUUCCCCUCCAAAUUCCGCCUCUGCUCUUCGAGAACUCCCUCCAAACCUCUACUCAUGGCGCAGGUCAAGCGAGGGUCUUCUUUCAGACAAGAUGAAGUCGCUUCCUCUUCCGAUCUGCACUUCGAGGCACCGUUGAGGAUCGUGGAAUAUCCGGAUCCCAUACUUAGAGCGAGAAACAAGCGUAUUACUACAUUUGAUGAGAAUCUAAAGAAGUUAGUUGUUGAGAUGUUCGAUGUUAUGUACAAAACUGAUGGCAUUGGGCUCUCUGCACCCCAAGUAGGAAUCAAUGUUCAACUUCUGGUGUUUAAUCCUGCGGGAGAACGUGGUGUAGGAGAGGAACUUGUCCUCAUAAACCCCAAAGUCUACAAAUAUUCGAAAAAGAUGGUGCUAUUCAAUGAGGGUUGCUUAUCCUUUCCAGGGAUAUAUGCGGAUGUUGAGAGACCAGAAACUGUAAAGGUUGAUGCUCGGGAUGUUAACGGCGCAAGAUUUACAGUCAAUUUCUCGGGACUUCCCGCACGAGUUUUCCAGCAUGAAUUUGACCAUUUGAUUGGAGUCCUUUUCUUUGACAGAAUGACAGAGGAAGUGCUUGACACUGUUCGAUCAGAACUUCAGGCUUUAGAGACGAAGUUUGAAACCAGGGCUGGAUUGCCAAGCCCAGAAAAGAUUGAAAACCGGAAAAGAAGAAAAGAGGUUGCUGGUUUUGGAAGAUCGUGAAUCUGGGAUCAUACUCAAUCAGGAAUAUAAUCAAACUGCAACAUUGUGGAAUACUUCAGGAAGCAUAGUUGAUUUACAAGUCAGCUUCUUGUCACAGAAGUCAUUUACCAAAUCUGGAAAGUCUUGGCCUCUUGAGCACUUUUCAGCUGAACGUGGUACGUCCUCCUGUCUGAUUAUUUAAUGAAACACUUUUUACCUUCUGCUGAAAACAUGUGGAUUCCAAACCACCACUCACUGCAUGGUGAGAUAUUGUCAUGGUCUCAUGAAGCCUUGGUUUGGAUUCUCUAAGCCAUUCGAUGGAAGGUUCUGAUCUUCUUGUCUGUUACAUGCUGUACCAAACGUGAAGUUUUGACUUUUGCCGGCUGGUACGUGGCUGGUUAUGGUUGCCACAUACGGGUACAUAUCUAGGUGUCAGACACAGGGUUCAGGGAUGCAGCUAAAUAUUUUAUAUAUUAUUAUUAAUUCAGUUUACAUAUCUUUGACAUUUUAAAAAAUCUGUGCUUUGUCAUUUUGAUAAUCUUCUUAUAUAAUAUUCAACACAGAUCCUGCACUUCAAAAAAGUUCUUAGCAAGGAUCCCAUAUCCACACCCACAUUAUGCAAUAAUCUAACAUCGACAAUUUGGAAUGAAAUAAUCACUUUCUCAAACUCCUGUUGCUUUUUGGACUGAGUCCAUCAAGGAUUUUGUGGGGUAUUCUAGUGAAGCGACGUGGAGUGUUUGGAUGGAUAAUCUUUCUUUAUAUGUUGGGCUUUUGACCGGGCUUGUUUUUUCCCCCUUGUCGGGUUUGAAGCUGAAUAGAAUCUUACUGAAAAAAUCUAUCAUGGGCACCUUGACCGUACAAAAGUUCCAGGUAAUCAUAGGCUGUGACUAACUUCAUGAUCAUUACAGUCAUUGUUCAUUUUUCUAUUGGAAUUGUUGUCCGGUAAUUAGCUUGAUAAUCUGAGUACUUUGGAGCUUUCUGUGGUAGAUAUGGUUAGUAAGCAUGGUUUUUCCAUUUCUUCAACUGAUAAACUAUCCAUUGAAUGUCUUGAAAUUCAUGCUUUAUGUGCUUUAAGUUCAUUAGAUUACUCCAUCAAUUUCCAACUUCUGUACCUUUGAAUGUCACUCUCCCUCCCUCUGUUUCUCAGAGCAUCGUCAUCUCUCAUUCAUCAAUUGGAGCUUUUUUUAAAAAAAACCCACAAAUCAGAACAAAGACAGGUUCUCAUGCAACUUGUAGUGUUUCUGAAUAAACAAACUUGGCAAACAUGACCUUAAUACAAAUGUAGAAAUCAAGAAUGUCUUUAUGAAUUCUCCAAUGUUGGGGAAUUGACAUUCGCCCUAGCAAACAACAUUUGCCUUAUAAGCACAAACUCUAGGAAAUAACAAUGCCUGUAUACUCUCUCGAAAUGGGAACUCAACGUAACCCUACUAAACAAGAAUUCCUAUAUACUAUGUAUAGAACGGCAAGCGAAACAUGACU